UACGUAGGGUGCAAGCGUUGUUCGGAAUCAUUGGGCGUAAAGCGCGUGUAGGUGGCCUUCUAAGUUGGAUGUGAAAUACCUGGGCUCAACCGAGGAAGUGCAUCCAAAACUAGUUGGCUUGUGGACGGCAGAGGGAGGUGGAAUUCCUAGUGUAGAGGUGAAAUUCGUAGAUAUUAGGAGGAAUACCGGCGGCGAAGGCGGCCUCCUGGACCGUUCCAGACACUGAGACGCGAAAGCGUGGGUAGCAAACAGG
rnacentral:rRNA from 1 species